UACACAUGCAAGUCGAACGAUGAAUCGCUUCGGUGGGGGAUUAGUGGCGAAUGGGUGAGUAACACGUGGGCAAUCUGCCCUUCACUCUGGGACAAGCCCUGGAAACGGGGUCUAAUACCGGAUACGACCACUGAGGGCAUCUUCGGUGGUGGAAAGCUCCGGCGGUGAAGGAUGAGCCCGCGGCCUAUCAGCUUGUUGGUGGGGUAAUGGCCUACCAAGGCGACGACGGGUAGCCGGCCUGAGAGGGCGACCGGCCACACUGGGACUGAGACACGGCCCAGACUCCUACGGGAGGCAGCAGUGGGGAAUAUUGCACAAUGGGCGAAAGCCUGAUGCAGCGACGCCGCGUGAGGGAUGACGGCCUUCGGGUUGUAAACCUCUUUCAGCAGGGAAGAAGCGAGAGUGACGGUACCUGCAGAAGAAGCGCCGGCUAACUACGUGCCAGCAGCCGCGGUAAUACGUAGGGCGCAAGCGUUGUCCGGAAUUAUUGGGCGUAAAGAGCUCGUAGGCGGCUUGUCGCGUCGGAUGUGAAAGCCCGGGGCUUAACCCCGGGUCUGCAUUCGAUACGGGCAGGCUAGAGUGUGGUAGGGGAGAUCGGG
rnacentral:rRNA from 1 species